GAAAGGUCCUUCGGGAACAAGUAAAGUGGCGCACGGGUGCGUAACACGUAGCUAACGUACCUCCUUGCUGGGGAUAACUCCGGGAAACCGGAGCUAAUACCGAAUAGUCUGAUACGGCCUGCGGGCUGUAUCGGCAAAGCCUUAGGGCGCGAGGAGAUCGGGCUGCGGUCCAUUAGCUUGAUGGUAGGGUAACGGCCUACCAUGGCGACGAUGGAUAGCUGGUCUGAGAGGAUGAUCAGCCACACUGGAACUGACACACGGUCCAGACUCCCACGGGAGGCAGCAGUUGGGAAUAUUGGACAAUGGGCGAGAGCCUGAUCCAGCAAUCCCGCGUGAGUGAUGAAGGCCCUUGGGUCGUAAAGCUCUUUCAGCAGGGAAGAAGGGAAACUUGACGG
rnacentral:rRNA from 1 species